rnacentral:lncRNA from 1 species
AACAGGGACAAAAAGCGUGAAGCUUACAAGCGCUGGCUCAUCUCAGCUUAACGGGCCAGCACUAAUAAGGCCUUCUUUAGUUCCAAAAAAUUCUACAAAAUGAAAAAUAUAGUACUUUCGUUUGUAUUUGACAAAUAUUAUUUAAUCAUGGACUAACUAGGCUCAAAAGAUUUAUCUCGCAAAUUAUAGAUAAACUAUGUAAUUAAUUAUUUUUUAUUUAUAUUUAAUGCUUCAUGUAUGUGCCGUGAUUUGAUGUGACAGGAAUCUAAAAAAUUUUACAAAAGUUUUUGCAAACUAAACAAGGCCUAAUCACCUUUCCGAUGCUGAUGUGCCCGUCCUUCACCGGCGCUUUGUCAUGACUCGUAUGAUGCUACUGCCAUCACGCCUUAAGACAAGGCCCCGUCGCACUGCAACUCCACUGGCCGGCCUAAACGGGACAUGCACAUUGGUAGGCGACACAACCAAAAUCUUGUGCGAUUUCCGUCGCAGUCCAGUACUACUACAGUACUAGCUAGUAGAAACCACGGCUCCACGCCACUCAUGCACGUUUCAUCUAGCACUGACAUGAUAGCGCACGCAUGUGAAACGACGCAAGCGGCAAGCGGAGCAGUAGCAAUCUGCAGAAAAAAAAAAAAACAGUGCAAGUGAAGUCAUCGGUCGUCGAUCUUUACCCGCCACCUAACAUCUGGAAUUCGAGAUCGGUCCAUAGGAGUAGUACAUGUAUACAUAUCCUGCCAAAUCGGAACUGAUCAAUGAUCGUCAGCACUGCGAUAUAUAGAGAAAUCAUUGGUGUAUCCUUUCUCGUAAACAACCCGGCCGGCCAUGACGCCUCCUCAGCAUAACUAAGGUCUUGUUUAGAUAAGAAAAGAUUUUUUGAAUUUCGCUAUGUAGUACUUUCGUUUGUUUGUGGUAAAUAUUGUCCAAUUAUGGACUAAUUAGAAUCAAAAGAUUCG